GCCCCGAGCGUGCGAAAGCCGCCGGCUCCUGAGAAAUCCCCCUCCUCCAGGGUGUUCUUGGGCGCGUGGCUUAAAGUUCAGGAGCGGGUGGGAGGGUGCGGUGACGUCUAGAGGGCCGGCCGCCCGCGAGCACUUGGGGGCGGGCCGGGCGGCGAAGUGGGGCCCGUCCUCCCAGGCUGGGGUAAGGACAGCUGGGGUUUUCGUUGGGUGGUUCCCCCUCUUCCUGAUUUCGCACAUGCAAAUCCCCGGCCCCCGCGCCGGCGGGUGGCGCCGCGUGGGCGCCCCGGAGCGCACUCGAGGGGAAGUGCGGAAGCUGCAGCGGCCUCUGCGCGCCUGUAAUUAAGAAACUUGCUGAACCCUUUUUUCAAAGAUCCAGUCUACAUCUGAAAAGUGAAAAUAUUUCACUUGUGCAGGAUAAACUUAAUUAGAAAAAAAGGAAGAUUACAAGACAAGGUGAUGGAUGGACUAAAAACAACAACAAAUGCCUGUGAAGCAGAAAUCAGGCCUUCAGUGGCUGCUUGUCCAGAUCUAAAGGUGUUUCCUGAGGGCCAGUUUGGCCUUGCUUGCAGCUACCUCUACGGACCACAACGCUGAGCCGAGACACCACCUCCCAGCAUGCACAUGGGGCCGGCUCCUCAGCUACACAUCAAACACGAAGUCUGCUGCCCAUGCUGGUUGCCGAGUGAGGUAAUGUGAGUUAAACCCCUUAGUUUGGUGCACAGAGAAAAUGUCAACAAAUGCUAGCUAUCCUUAUCUUCAUUAUCUAAAGUGAGUGGAUCCCUUUUCAUUUAAGCUCAUAAGAAACCUGCUUGGAAAGGCCCAUCUUGGUUGUUUCAUCUUGAUUUCUCUAUCCCCCCAACUUUCCUGCAAAGCCUAGGAGGGACCAUUCACAUUCACGAGGGUUGUUCUAAGUCAGUGGUUCGUUCUUUUUUUUUUUUUUUGCCGUACGCGGGUCUCUCACUGUUGUGGCCUCUCCCGUUGUGGAGCACAGGCUCCGGACGCGCAGGCUCAGCGGCCAUGGCUCACGAGCCUAGCCGCUCCG